rnacentral:rRNA from 1 species
GACGUAGGGGGCCAGCGUUGUUCGGAAUUACUGGGUGUAAAGGGUUCGUAGGCGGUGCGGCAAGUUGGGAGUGAAAUCUCUGGGCUUAACCCAGAGGCUGCUUCCGAAACUGCUGUGCUUGAGUGUGGGAGAGGCGCGUGGAAUUGCAGGUGUAGCGGUGAAAUGCGUAGAUAUCUGCAGGAACACCCGUGGCGAAAGCGGCGCGCUGGACCACUACUGACGCUGAGGGACGAAAGCUAGGGGAGCAAACAGG